rnacentral:tRNA from 1 species
AGCAGCUUGGCUCACUGGAAAGAGCAGGGGCUUGGGAGCCAGAGGUCAUGGGUUCGAAUCCCAGAUCUGCCA